UACGGAGGAUGCGAGCGUUAUCCGGAUUCAUUGGGUUUAAAGGGUGCGCAGGCGGGCUAAUAAGUCAGGGGUGAAAUUCCACGGCUCAACUGUGGGGCUGCCUUUGAUACUGUUAGUCUUGAGUUUAGUUGAGGUGGGCGGAAUGUAGCAUGUAGCGGUGAAAUGCAUAGAUAUGCUACAGAACACCGAUAGCGAAGGCAGCUCACCAAGUUAUAACUGACGCUCAUGCACGAAAGCGUGGGGAU
rnacentral:rRNA from 1 species